AAGCUGCCGUAAAAUAGGAGAACAACAGACAUGGUCACGCCAUCUAAGAAGAAAUCAAGUGCACCAGUCUGCAGGUUAAGACCAUAUGCAGUACUACAGGCUUGUUUUCUUUGGACAUUGUUCUGUUUGGCUCUGUGGGCAUUGAAUGGUGGGAUCCACAUCAAACAAAUUCAGCCCGCCAGACCUAAACCAGUUCCUCAAAAUAACAGUUCAUCCAUAAUAUCCGCGUUUGACAUGGGAAUCAGUGACGAGGAGUGGGGAAGACUA